UGUCAAAAUGUGUUCUACCAUUGUUGAAGAAAGCUGGAACUUAUGGAAAUAAAUCAUUUUAAAAAAACCUUAUUGAGUAGAGUAAUUAUAGGAACAUUAGUGUCACAUACAGCAAAAUUCGCUUUUGUCGAUAAGUUGAAAGGCGAUUGUUUGAAGAGAAUAAUUGAAUAAAUAGCUUCAUAGAAUAGCAAAACAAACUA